UAUUAAAUAUUUCGGUCGUCUGUACUUUUAAAAAUUAACAUGAUUGAUAAAAUAAUCAGACAAUAACAUGUGGUGUGCCACAUUUACCUCAUAUUGACUUACAAAAAUCACUUUUUUUACAAUAGAAACAGAUGAAAUUUUUAACA
rfam:Gossypium hirsutum cultivar TM-1 chromosome 16, whole genome shotgun sequence